rnacentral:rRNA from 1 species
GAUGAACGCUGGCGGCGUGCCUAAUACAUGCAAGUCGAGCGAACAGACGAGGAGCUUGCUCCUCUGACGUUAGCGGCGGACGGGUGAGUAACACGUGGAUAACCUACCUAUAAGACUGGGAUAACUUCGGGAAACCGGAGCUAAUACCGGAUAAUAUAUUGAACCGCAUGGUUCAAUAGUGAAAGACGGUUUUGCUGUCACUUAUAGAUGGAUCCGCGCCGCAUUAGCUAGUUGGUAAGGUAACGGCUUACCAAGGCAACGAUGCGUAGCCGACCUGAGAGGGUGAUCGGCCACACUGGAACUGAGACACGGUCCAGACUCCUACAGGAGGCAGCAGUAGGGAAUCUUCCGCAAAGGGCGAAAGCCUGACGGAGCAACGCCGCGUGAGUGAUGAAGGUCUUCGGAUCGUAAAACUCUGUUAUUAGGGAAGAACAAAUGUGUAAGUAACUAUGCACGUCUUGACGGUACCUAAUCAGAAAGCCACGGCUAACUACGUG